rnacentral:rRNA from 1 species
UACGUAGGUGGCAAGCGUUGUCCGGAAUUAUUGGGCGUAAAGAGCGUGUAGGCGGCUUGGUAAGUCCGCUGUGAAAGUCCAGGGCUCAACCCUGGAAUGCCAGUGGAUACUGUCAAGCUAGAGUCCGGAAGAGGCGAGUGGAAUUCCUGGUGUAGCGGUGAAAUGCGCAGAUAUCAGGAGGAACACCAAUGGCGAAGGCAGCUCGCUGGGACGGUACUGACGCUGAGACGCGAAAGCGUGGGGAGCAAACAGG